rnacentral:rRNA from 1 species
UACGUAGGGGGCAAGCGUUAUCCGGAUUUACUGGGUGUAAAGGGCGUGUAGCCGGGCUGACAAGUCAGAUGUGAAAUCCGGGGGCUCAACCCCCGAACUGCAUUUGAAACUGUUGGUCUUGAGUAUCGGAGAGGCAGGCGGAAUUCCUAGUGUAGCGGUGAAAUGCGUAGAUAUUAGGAGGAACACCAGUGGCGAAGGCGGCCUGCUGGAUGACAACUGACGGUGAGGCGCGAAAGCGUGGGGAGCAAACAGG